AGCAGUAGCCGCGGUAAUACGUAGGGUGCGAGCGUUAAUCGGAAUUACUGGGCGUAAAGCGUGCGCAGGCGGUUAUAUAAGACAGAUGUGAAAUCCCCGGGCUCAACCUGGGACCUGCAUUUGUGACUGUAUAGCUAGAGUACGGUAGAGGGGGAUGGAAUUCCGCGUGUAGCAGUGAAAUGCGUAGAUAUGCGGAGGAACACCGAUGGCGAAGGCAAUCCCCUGGACCUGUACUGACGCUCAUGCACGAAAGCGUGGGGAGCAAACAGGAUUAGAGACCCCCGUAGUCCCUGUCUCUUAUAC
rnacentral:rRNA from 1 species